rnacentral:rRNA from 1 species
CCUGUAUUCCCCUGGUCUUACGGCCAGGGCUACACACGUGCUACAAUGGUCGGUACAAAGGGUUGCCAAGCCGCGAGGUGGAGCUAAUCCCAUAAAACCGAUCGUAGUCCGGAUCGCAGUCUGCAACUCGACUGCGUGAAGUCGGAAUCGCUAGUAAUCGUGAAUCAAAAUGUCACGGUGAAUACGUUCCCGGGCCUUGUACACACCGCCCGUCACACCAUGGGAGUGGGUUGCUCCAAAAGUAGCUAGUCUAACCGCAAGGGGGACGGUUACCACGGAGUGAUUCAUGACUGGGGUGAAGUCGUAACAAGGUAGCCGUAGGGGAACCUGCGGUUGGAUCACCUCCAUA